rnacentral:rRNA from 1 species
CCUACGGGUGGCAGCAGUGAGGAAUAUUGGUCAAUGGACGAGAGUCUGAACCAGCCACGUAGCGUGAAGGAUGACUGCCCUCUGGGUUGUAAACUCUUUUUAUAAAGGAAUAAAACGACGCAUGUGUGCCUCUUUGCAUGUACUUUAUGAAUAAGGAUCGGCUAACCCCGUGCCAGCAGCCGCGGUAAUACGGAGGAUACGAGCGUUAUCCGGAUUUAUUGGGUUUAAAGGGAGCGUAGAUGGGUUGUUAAGUCAGUUGUGAAAGUUUGCGGCUCAACCGUAAAAUUGCAAUUGAUACUGGCAGUCUUGAGUACAGUUGAGGUAAGCGGAAUUCGUGGUGUAGCGGUGAAAUGCGUAGAUAUCACGAAGAACCCCGAUUGCGAAGGCGGCUUACUAAACUGUGACUGACAUUGAUGCUCGAAAGUGUGGGUAUCAAACAGGAUUAGAUACCCCGGUAGUC